UACGAAGGGGGCUAGCGUUGUUCGGAAUCACUGGGCGUAAAGCGCACGUAGGCGGAUGUGCCAGUCAGGGGUGAAAUCCCGGGGCUCAACCCCGGAACUGCCUUUGAUACUGGUAGUCUCGAGUCCGGAAGAGGUGAGUGGAAUUCCGAGUGUAGAGGUGAAAUUCGUAGAUAUUCGGAGGAACACCAGUGGCGAAGGCGGCUCACUGGUCCGGUACUGACGCUGAGGUGCGAAAGCGUGGGGAGCAAACAGG
rnacentral:rRNA from 1 species